rnacentral:lncRNA from 1 species
AUGAAUUCCGAGCUGGGGAGGAGGAGGAUGAUGAUGAUGAUGAUGAUGAUGAUGAUGGGAUGGGGAAGAUUCUCUCCUUUCAUGAAAAGAUCAAAGCCCUUUAAGAAAACAAGGCCACCAACUGCAAAGUGCUCUGAACAUUCAGGGGCUCCCCCUUGGGGUCGGGAAUUCCUUCGGGACAUUCCCUGGGGUGGGAUUUGUGCCUUUCCAAAGGCUUUGGAAAGGGAAUUGUGCCCUUCCAAGGGCUUUGGAAAGGGAAUUGUGCCCUUCCAAGGGCUUUGGAAAAGGAUUUGUUCCCGCCCAAGGACCCUGGACAGGGAAUUGUGCCCCUCCAAGGGAUCUGGACAGGGAUUUUUGCCCUCCCAAGGGUGGGAGCAGCGCUGGAUUUCGGAGCCGAGCCCCGAGCCCACCCCUGGGAAGGUUUUGGGGGGCUCAGGGCAGCCCUGGAGACAGGGAAGGGGGAAAAGGGGCCCAGGAUCCCUCUGGAUCAUCCCUCCAACCCCAGGAUCCCUCUGGAUCAUCCCUCCUGCCCCGGGAUCCCUCUGGAUCAUCCCUCCAACCCCAGGAUCCCUCUGGAUCAUCCCUCCUGCCCCGGGAUCCCUCUGGAUCAUCCCUCCCACCCCGGGAUUCCCUUGCCUCGGGCUCAAAUCCCAAAGGGAGCAGGGUUGGGAGCUGCCCACCCCAAUCAUGGAUUGCUUUUCAUUCCACAGGGAAACAAAAACAACAACAANAAAAAAAAAAAAAACAUCCUUGGUGCAGUUUUUUUGGUGUGAGGAAAAAAAAUCCUUCCUGGGAUUUGUAAAUCCAGGUGGGAAUGGUGGGAUCCAGGCUGGAUUUCCUAAAUUGUGGUGUCAGGCAGUGAACAGAAGGGAUUCCCUGUCAGCUCAAGGGAAUCCUGGUCCCAUUCCUGAGGAAUUCCUGCUCUGGGUGGAAUUCAGAGCUGGGAAAGGUGGAGGGGAUUUUUGGGGAUUUUUUUUUUCCUCCCCUCUCUGGUGCUCUGUGGCAGUAGAUUCAGGGAUUUGCUGCUGGAUUCCAUUGGAUUUUGGGAAAACUCCACCCAAACCUCCUCUCCCAGGUUUCUCAGCGUGCCCUGGUGGGGAUGGAACAGCAGCUGAUCCCAAAUUCUUGGGAGAUUUUCCCUGGAUUUUGGCAAAUUUGGUCCAUUCCAAACCAAACUCAAGCCUGGAAUUUUGGAGUGUUCUCUGUGCUUUGUGUGAUUUUGUCAGUUUGCAGGGGAUGUUCCAGCAUCAUCCCAAGAAUUU